rnacentral:rRNA from 1 species
GAUGAACGCUGGCGGCGUGCCUAAUACAUGCAAGUCGAGCGAACGGACGAGAAGCUUGCUUCUCUGAUGUUAGCGGCGGACGGGUGAGUAACACGUGGAUAACCUACCUAUAAGACUGGGAUAACUUCGGGAAACCGUAGCUAAUACCGGAUAAUAUUUUGAACCGCAUGGUUCAAAAGUGAAAGACGGUCUUGCUGUCACUUAUAGAUGGAUCCGCGCUGCAUUAGCUAGUUGGUAAGGUAACGGCUUACCAAGGCAACGAUGCAUAGCCGACCUGAGAGGGUGAUCGGCCACACUGGAACUGAGACACGGUCCAGACUCCUACGGGAGGCAGCAGUAGGGAAUCUUCCGCAAUGGGCGAAAGCCUGACGGAGCAACGCCGCGUGAGUGAUGAAGGUCUUCGGAUCGUAAAACCCUGUUAUUAGGGAAGAACAUAUGUGUAAGUAACUGUGCACAUCUUGACGGUACCUAAUCAGAAAGCCACGGCUAACUACGUG